GAUGAACGCUGGCGGCGUGCUUAACACAUGCGAGUCGAACGGAAAGGCUCCUGCUUGCAGGGGUACUCGAGUGGCGAACGGGUGAGUAACACGUGGGUGAUCUGCCCUGCACUUCGGGAUAAGCUUGGGAAACUGGGUCUAAUACCGGAUAGGACCGCAUUUUGGAUGGUGUGGUGGAAAGUUUUUUCGGUGUGGGAUGAGCUCGCGGCCUAUCAGCUUGUUGGUGGGGUAAUGGCCUACCAAGGCGUCGACGGGUAGCCGGCCUGAGAGGGUGUACGGCCACAUUGGGACUGAGAUACGGCCCAGACUCCUACGGGAGGCAGCAGUGGGGAAUAUUGCACAAUGGGCGCAAGCCUGAUGCAGCGACGCCGCGUGGGGGAUGACGGCCUUCGGGUUGUAAACUCCUUUCGCUAGGGACGAAGAGUAAUUGACGGUACCUGGAGAAGAAGCACCGGCUAACUACGUG
rnacentral:rRNA from 1 species